UACGAAGGGAGCUAGCGUUGUUCGGAAUCACUGGGCGUAAAGCGCACGUAGGCGGAUGUGUCAGUCAGGGGUGAAAUCCCGGGGCUCAACCUCGGAACUGCCUUUGAUACAGCACGUCUCGAGUCCGGAAGAGGUGGGUGGAAUUCCUAGUGUAGAGGUGAAAUUCGUAGAUAUUAGGAAGAACACCGGUGGCGAAGGCGGCCCACUGGUC
rnacentral:rRNA from 1 species